CCUGCUCUGCAGGCUCUUCAGCCAUAACUGAUGACUUGGGCCGCUACUGCAUCAGUAUCUGCAUAGUUGCUGAGAAAUGGAUUAAAGCCCACAUGAGAUGUAACAGGAAGAGAAGCAGCCAUAUCAAGAAUGUACUCAGCUCUGAGGACUUCUCAAUAGCCAGUGCAGGAUGAGGGAAGUGUCUUAUUUUUGCCUCCCAGAUAUACCCCCUCCCCACCCCGAGUUCAUUAUCCUCGCUCACAGAGAGGCUAACUGCCCAAGGCUUGGUCUUCUGUGUGCUGCUCCCAUGUUAACUUCAC